rnacentral:lncRNA from 1 species
GCCCGCUGUAGCGCCACAGCUCUUUGGGCGUUGAUUCUAGGGUCAGGGCCCUCACUCACACUGCUGGAAGGUUAAAGUCGACUUCACGCUAGUUUAAGGAAAUAUCUGACGCUGAUAACCAUGUCCCAAGCACUGCUCUAAGUUCCCAAUGUGUCCGGAAUUGGUGGGUUCUUGGUCUCACUGACUUCAAGAAUGAAGCCACGGACCCUCGCGGUGAGUGUUACAGCUCUUAAAGUGGCGCGUCUGGAGUUUGUUCCUUCUGAUGUUCGGAUGUGUUCGGAGUUUUUUCCUUCUGGUGGGUUCGUGGUCUCGCCGGCUCAGGAGUGAAACUGCAGACCUGUUACGGCUCAUAAAGGCAGUGUGGACCCAAAGAGUGAGCAGCAGCAGGAUUUAUUGCAAAGAGAGAAAGAACAAAGCUUCCACAAUAGAAGGGGACCUGAGCCGGUUGCCACUGCUGGCUCCGGCAGCCUGCUUUUAUUGUCUUAUCUGGCCCCACCCACAUCCUGCUGAUUGGUAGAGCCGAGUGGUCUGUUUUGACAGGGUGCUGAUUGGUGCGUUUACAAUCCCUGAGCUAGACACAAAGGUUCUCCAAGGCCCCAGCAGAGUCGAUUGGUAUAUUCACAAACCCUGAGCUAGACACACGGUGCUGAUUGGUGUAUUUACAAUCCCUGAGCUAGACAUAAAGGUUCUCCACAUCCCCACCAGACUCAGGAGCCCAGCUGGCUUCACCAAGUGGAUCCCACACCAGGGCUGCAGGUGGAGCUGCCUGCGAGAACGGCACCGUGCGCCCACACUCCUCAGCCCUUGGGUGGUGAUGGGACUGGGCGCCGUGGAGCAGGGGGUGGUGCUCGUCGAGGAGGCUCGGGCAGCACAGGAGCCCAUGGAGGGGGUGGGAGGCUCAGGCAUGGCGGGCUGCAGGUCCCGAGCCCUGCCCCUCGGAAAGGCAGCUAAGGCCCGGUGAGAAAUCGAGCACAGCGCCGGUGGGCUGGCACUGCUGAGGGACCCAGUACACCCUCCGCAGCCGCUGGCCCGGGUGCUAAGCCCCUCAUUGCCGGGGGCUGGCAGGGCCAGCCGGCUGCUCCGAGUGCGGGGCCCACCAAGCCCACGCCCACCCUGAACUCCAGCUGGCCCGCAAGCGCCGUGUGCAGCCCCGGUGCCCGCUCGCGCCUCUCCCUCCACACCUCCCUGCAAGCUGAGAGAGCCGGCUCUGGCCUUGGCCAGCCCAGAAAGGGGCCUCCACAGUGCAGCAGUGGGCUGAAGGGCUCCUCAAGUGCUGCCAAAGUGGGAGCCCAGGCAGAGGAGGCACCGAGAGUGAGCGAGGGCUGUGAGGACUGCCAGCACACUGUCACCUCUCACCAACAUUCUAAAUCAUAAACACCCAGGCCGGGCGUGUGGCUCACGCCUAUAAUCCCAGCACUUUGGGAGGCUGAGGUGAGAGGAUCGCUUGAGCUCAGGAGUUCCAUACCAGCCUGGGCAACAAGGGAAAAAACCCUACCAAAAAAAACACAAGAAAUUAGCUGGGCGUGGUGGCGCGUGCCGAUAGUCCCAGCUACUUGAGAGGCUGAGCCGGGAAGAUUGCUUGAGCCCAGCAGGUCGAGACCGAGGUGAGCUCUGAACGCCUGAUUGCGCCACUGCACCCCAGCCCAGUGACAGGGCGAGACCCUGUCUCAAAAUAAAUAAAUAAAAAUAAUAAACAACCGAAUUCAGUGGUCCCGUUAGAAUAUUCCAGGCUCCGAGAAGCCAGGUGCUCACAGCGUCGGGAUUUGCCCCCAGCCAGGGCCUCCGCUCCCUCUUGCCUCGGGCAGAUGCUCCUGGAACACAGAGCUGCGGCCUCGGUGCUGAUGCUGAGUGCUGUGACCCAGCCUCCCCCUACUUUUUUCCUAAGGGUAUAAGCUUCACUCUGCCUGGGGCUUUGGCUGUAAGUUGGAGUCUGGCUUUACCCACUGUGGGCACCCAAGGCCAAGGUGGGUCUGAUUCACCACUGUUUCCUCAGCCCUGCCAGGCUCUGAAUAUGCCUUUAGGAAUCAUUCUGGAAGAUUUCUUUCUUCACUGGACUAUAUAAGUGCCUCUGCGAGAAAACAGGCCCUAGGGGCAGGUACUUAGUCAGUUUAGUCAUCUGUUUCCUCAGCUUGAAAUGGGCUUGGCAUACAGCAGGAGCCCAGUAAAUGUUGCUUUAAUGCUCAUUUCCCAAGAGAUCUUUAUUAAGCACCCACUGCAUGUCAUUGUGUCUAGGCUUAUUCACUGUGUACCUCUAGCAGAAAGUUAAGGGGACCCUCCAUGCUUGAUGGCCAGAGGUCACUCUCAGCUCCUACAGGUCACUCUCCGGUCCUUAAACGUGGCCCUCUCCAUCUUCAAAGCCAGUAAGAGCAUGUCGGAUCCUUCUUAUCCUUCCAGCCUCUCUGUCAUCCCCUUCUGCUCCCAGCUGGAGAAAACUCUGCUUUUAAGGGGCUUGCCAUGGUCCAAAUAUGUGAGUCCCCCCAAAAUUCAUAUGUUGCAAAGCAAUCCCCAAUGUGAUGAUAUUAGGAGGUGGGGUCUUUGGGAGGUGAUGUGGUCAUGAAGGCUCAGCUUUCAUGAAUGAGAUUAGCACCCUCAUAAAACAACUCCACAGGGCCGCCUUACCCCUUCUGCUGUGGGAGGUUAUAGCAAAAAGAUGGGCUUCUAUGAACCAGAAGUGGGCCCUCACCAGGCACCAAACCUGCUGGCACCGUGAUCUUGUACUGCUCAGCCUUCAGAACUCAGAAAAUACAUUUCUGUUGUUUAGAAGACACCCAGUUUCUGGUAUUUUGUUAGAGCAGCGUGAACGGACUAAAAUAGUGCUUAUGUGGUUGUGUAACAGCAUCGAUUCCAUGUUAAAGAACAAUUUUGCUUGCUCAAUUAUAAUUAUUGCUUUGCUUAAGUUUUAGACUAUGCUAAAAACAGCCUCAGGACCUUCAGCACUGAUCAACAAUCCUGGGCAUGGGCUGACCGACAGUUUUCACCCAGAGAGUGAAGAUCAUGGAGGAGCCAUCUUAAAUUCUGCCCAGCGCAGGCUCCCAGGAAUCCUAAUGUCACGAUCUCACUGCAGCCAAUGUGACAAACACAGCAGUAAUUAAGUCUAGAGAGCUAAACACACCUCAAAAAGAAUUGUCUCUUGGUAUGAGUGGAAUGGAAUAAAAUACAUGGAAACCCACAAAAGUUUCGAGAGAGGACACAAGCACAGGUUUGAAAGAGGCUUUCGCGGUUGGACUCGCUUUCCUCUGCGUCUCUGCCUUCGCUAUGAGAAGAACGGGCACCGGUCUUGGGAAGAUGGUGAGAGAAACACAGAACCAAGCUGCUCUAGACAGGCCUAGCCUAGACCAGGUGGCCCGCAGACCAUUACUGAGCCCAGCCUGGAUCAUCCAACUCCCAGCCAAACUGCAGACCAUGAGGAAUGUUUAUUGUUGUCACGGAGAUUUAGGGUGGCUCAUGCAGCAAAAGCCAGUUGAUGGCCGUAGGUGGGAUUAUAAUCCCGGAUACAUUAAAAUGCCAGUCUCUUCUUUUCCCCAUGUCUUCAUUUGCUCACUCUCAGGUGAAGGGAUCUUGCUUGGAGGCCCAGACGUUCUGGAUUUUCUCUUUAGAAACUGUGGCUUGAAGCAUCCUCUUCAGGAAACAAUAUUUACUCCUUUUGUAUCUCCAAAACCCCUCCUCACCCCUUUUGCAACCCAAACCCAAGUGUCUUCUGUGUCCUAUUUUUCUUCUUUUGAGGCAGAGUCUUGCUCUGCUGCCCAGGCUGGAAUGCAGUGGUGCGAUCACGGCUCACUGCAGCCUCGACCUCCCUGGCCCAGGUGAUCCUCGCAACUCAGCCUCCCGAGUAGCUGGGACUACAGGCACAUACCACAAUACCUGGCUAAUUUUUUUGUAUUUUUUUGUAGAGGUGUGGUUUCACUAUGUUACCCAGGUUGGUCUUGAACUGAGCUCAAGCAAUCUGCCUGCCUCGGCCUCCCAAAGUGCUGGGAUUACAGGUGUGAGCCACUGCGCCUGGCCAGCUUGUACAUUUUACAAUCAAGAUUACAAGACUACUGCCAGCUGUAGGCCACAUCAGGCUCUGAGAAGAGGGGAUGUGGACAGAGGUAACCAGGACAAAAGGAAAAAAAAGUCCUUAAUUUCACCUUCUCUGAUGCCAUUUAGUUCAUGCCGAUCAUCUGUAAUUCACAUCUGUGAACUUUCAGCCCGUUUGGGAGAAGCCUUCCCUCAAGUGCUUAAUUAUGGCACAGGAUGGUCUCUUUUACACAAACGACUGUGCAAAGACAUAGAAAGUGGAAUUUAUUUCUAUCAGAAUUAAUUCAGAAAAUCUGGGUAAGUUCCACACUCCAUUUAACACUCAUUACACAUAAUAACUGGUCAGACCACAUUGUGUAUGACUUAACCCACAUUACAUGAAUAGUCUAGGAAUAACAAAAGAAUUUACUAUUUAUUUAUCUGAAACAAUGUUGAUUCUGGGUUUGGUAAGAUUCUGGGCUCGACACAAUUCUGAGUCAUGCUAAAUUCUUCCACCAAAGGCAGCUGCCAUAAUGGAGUGUCUGGUACAGGAAGCGCGAGCCACUGGAGUGUGGGACGCAUCACGGCCACAACAACAAAGCUGUCUCCACGUCCACUGCUAGCCGGGCGGGGCAGUAAAACGUGGUGUCUUGCACGUUGUAUUUUCAAGAAACGGCCACAAUGCAAUUGCUAACAGUUGCACCUGCUCUUCCAGAACCUUGCCAUGCCCAUCAAGAGGUGGAGUCUGUGUCUCCUCCCUUUGACCCUGGCGGGACUUUGUGAAGGUGAUAUGGCAAAGAGAUGCUAUGGGACUUCCGAUGCUUACUCUCCUGGGUUUUGUACAUUUGGACGCCAAAGCCACCAUAUACGAAGUCUGGCUCCCCUGAAAUUGCCAUGCUGUGGAGACUAUGUAAAAAGAUCUCUGGUCGGGCGCCCCAGCACUUUGGGGGGCUGAGGCAGGUGGAUCACUUGAGGUCAGGAGUUCAAGACCAGCCUGGCCAACGUGGAGAAACCCCGUCUCUACUAAAAAUACAAAAAUUAGCUGGGCGUGGUGUGGGGUGCCUGUAAUCCCAGCUACUCGGGAGGCUGAGGCAGAAGAAUCGCUUGAACCUGGGAGGCAGAGGUUGCAGUGAGCUGAGAUCGUGCCAUUGCACUCCAGCCUGGAUAACAAGAGCCAAACUCCAUCUCACAAAAAAAAAAAAAAAAAGAUCACUGAAAGAGAUAUCCGUAUCUGGAAAUGGAGUGCUGCCGAAGGAUGCUGAAGAGACAAAGGAAGCCUAUUGGCUUUGAGAAGGCUCUCAGUGGAGACCUAAAGAAGAGUGAGGCAUCUGGAGGUGCUGCAGCCCACCAGGCUGCUGUAACAGAAUGUCAUAGCCUGGGGGGCUUAGAAACAAAGGUUCCUCACAGCGCUGGAGGCUGAAAGUCCAAGAUGAAGGCGCUGGCAGAUUCAGUGUUUGGGGAGGGAGAGCCCUUUCUCUGUGUUUUCACAUGGCAGGAGGGGCGAGGGAGCUCUCUGGGGUCCCUUUGAUAAGGGUACUAAUCCCAUGCAUGAGGGCUCCACCCUCAUGACCUUGCCACCCCCAAAAGCUUCUUCCUAACCCCAUCACAUUGCGGGUAGGAUUUCAACAUGGAUUUUGAGGGGACACAGUAACAGGAGGAAAGGGGUCCCUGUUACACAGAAGCAGAGUUUAGCAAUACCUAAACUCUGCAGAAACGUGGAAGAGACAGCAUGUACUUAUGAAACGGAUUCCAGGCACUGCUGAAGAGUUGCCUGACCUCUGGUUGCUUAGAGUAAAAUGCAAGCGGAACUCUUAACUCUGAAGGAUCUGGGGCUUGUGGGUUUGUAAUCACCACUGUUUCUCCCUCCCAGCCUCUCAGGAUGGCAAGGAAUGCUAACGUUAAGAAAUGGUUUCUGAGGCUGGGCGCGGUGGCUCACGCCUGUAAUCCCAGCACUUUGGGAGGCCGAGGCAGUAGGAUCACCUGAGGUCGGGAGUUCGAGACCAGCCUGAUCAACAUGGAGAAACCCCGUCUCUACUAAAAAUACAAAAUUAGCCGGGUGUGGUGGCACAUGCCUGUAAUCCCAGCUACUCGGGAGACUGAGGCAGGAGAAUCGCUGGAAGCCGGGAGGCGGAGGUUGCGGUGAGCCGAGAUGGCGCCAUUGCAUUCCAGCCUGGGCAACAAGAGCGAAACUCCGUCUCAAAAAAAAAAAAAAAAAAAGAAAAAGAAAUGGUUUCUGGACAGAGGUAAGCCUAGGGUGGUGCUAUCAGGAAAACGUGGCUCACGCCUGCAAUCCCAGCACUUUGGGAGGCCGAGGCAGGCGGAUCACGAGGUCAGGAGAUCGAGACCAUCCUGGCUAACACGGUGAAACCCCGUCUCUACUAAAAAUACAAAAAAUGAGCCGGGCGCGGUGGUGGGCGCUUAUAGUCCCAGCUACUCGGGAGGCUGAGGCAGGAGAAUGGCGUGAACCCGGGAGGCGGAGCUUGCAGUGAGCGGAGAUAGCGCCACUGCACUCCGGCCUGGGCGAAAGAGCUAGACUCCGUCUUAAAAAAAAAAAAAAAAAAAAUGAGACCAAAGGCAUGACCACAAAUCCCCUGUCUUCACCCAGGCUGGCUGCUUCCGCUUCACGUUCAGUAUAUUUAAAAGUUCUUGCCAUGAGACAGGGUUUUCUUAUCCCCUCAUCCACCCCGUCUUCCCCUUUGGUGAAGGAGGGUGAGUUUGUUAAGACGUUGUGGAGGAACUAAGGCUUCCAAAGGUUUCGGGCCUGAGGUGACGAGAGGGGCCAGAACCUAAAGGAAGAGCCGAGGUGCAGGAGAGGCAAGGAGCCAACAUGGCGACAAACUGGGGUGGGCAGCGGAGAGGGGGACUCAGAAUGCCCUCUGGGGUGGACUCAGAAGACCAAAUUUGCAGCAUCCCUGGCCUGUGAAGGUCGCACAGAGUGAGGCUGCACUGUGGUAAUGGGCUGCUCCUACCCACCCCCGGUGAACCCUCAGGGCACACCCUGGGGGUGGGCUGCACCUACCUACCCACGCUGAACCCUCAGGCGCGCCAGCAGCGGCUCCCGGCAAGGGGAACAGCCUGGGACUGUGGGGUUGAGCUGCAGUCAAGUGGCUGAGGCUUCUGAACUGUGAUAAAAGCACCGCGGGCUCACGCCUGUAAUCCCAGCACUUUGGGAGGCCGAGGCGGGUGGACCACGAGGUCAGGGGAUCGAGACCAUCCUGGCUAAGAUGGUGAAACCCCGUCUCUACUAAAAAAUACAAAAAAUUAGCCGGGCGUGGUGGCGGGCGCCUGUAGUCCCAGCUACUUAGGAGGCUGAGGCAGGAGAAUGGCGUGAACCCGGGAGGCGGAGCUUGCAGUGAGCCGAGAUCGCGCCACUGCACUCCAGCCUGGGCAACAGAGCGAGACUCCGUCUCCAAAAAAAAAAAAAAAGCACCGCGGAGAGCGGGAAGGAGGCCUGGGAGGAGACUGCACUAUCACCCAGUGAGUGUGAGUAUGCGUGUGUGUGAGCAUGAGUGGUGUGUGAGCGAGUGUGUGUAUGCGAAUGCAUGUAUGUGUAUGAGUGAGCAUGAGUGCACGUGUGAGUGUGAGCAUGUGUGAGUGGUGUGAGCAGGUGUCUGAGAGCAUGUGAAUGCGCAUGUGAGCAUGUGAGCGAGUGUGAGCAUAUGUAUGUGUGGGAGUGAGCAUGAGUGUGAGCUUGUGUAUUGUGAGCCUGUAUGAAUGUGAGCAUGAGUGCACAUGUGAGUGUAUGGGUGUGAGCAUAAAUGUAAGUGGUGUGUGUGAGAACAUGAGUAAGAACGGGUGUGAGCAUGUAUUGUGGGUGUGGAUGAGUGUGAGUGUGCAUGUGCAUACAUGUGGGUAUAAGUGUGAGCGAGUGUAAAUGUGUGUAUGUGUGUGACAUUGUGUGAGCAUGUGUGUAAGCGUGUAUGACUGAGCAUGUGAGUGCACAUGUGAGUGCAUAUGCAUGUGAGCAUGAGUGUCAGCGGGUGUAUGUGUGAGCAUGAGUGAGUGGGUGUGCGUAUGUGUGAGUGUGACCAUGACUAUGUGAGCGUGUAUGAGUGUGAGCGUGUGAGCGCAUGAGUGUACAUGUGAGCAUGAAUGUGAACGGAUGUAUGUGAGCAUGUGUGAACCUGUGUAUGUGUGUGAGCAUGAGUGUGUAAAUGUGUGCGUGCGAGCGUGAGUGUGAGCAUGAGUGUGUGUGAGUGGGCAUGAUGAGUGUGCGUGUGAAUGCUCGUGUGAGCGUGCGCGGCCGGGCCAGAGCCGCUGGGCGCAGGGAGCGGGAGGCCUGGGAGGAGCUGCAGGCCGAGGCUGAGCCACCUUCCUCAGGAGCUGUUCCCAUCACCUCUAGGCGGCGCGGGAAGCGCUCGGUGUGCAGCGGUUCCUGAACCUGCAUCACCCACAAAGAAUUUUUUUUUUUUUUUUUUUGAGACGGAGUCUCGCUCUGUCACCCAGGCUGGAGUGCAGUGGCGCGAUCUCGGCUCACUGCAAGCUCGGCCACCCAGGUUCACGCCAUUCUCCUGCCUCAGCCUCCUGAGGAGCGGGGACUACAGGUGCCCGCCACCACGCCCGGCUAUUUUUUUGUAUUUUUAGUAGAGACGGGGUUUCACCAUCUUAGCCAGGACGGUCUCGAUAUCCUGACCUCGUGAUCCGCCCGCCUCCGCCUCCCAAAGUGUUGGGAUUACAGGCAUGAGCCACCGCGCCCGGCAAGAAUUUUAAAGAAAGUAGGAUCGGCCCGGGAGAAGGGCAGGGAGGAGGCCCGCGGAGGCUUGGCGAGGAGACCUGGGUGCCAGGAGACGGCGGAGCUCCCCGAGCUCUGGCUUUACCAGGUCAAGGCCCCUGUCACGAGGCGCGCGCCCUCAGGAGGCGACAGGGGGGCGACCCCCGCUAUGGCUUCAGGGCCCCACCCGGAGGCGAACAUUCCCGGCUCUGGACGAGCACGGCACGCAGGACCCGGAACCCAGGGUCCCGGGCGCACCCGCCUCGCGGUCCCCUUCCGCAUGUCCGCGCCCCCUCGCUCCAGGCCCAGGGUCGGCCAGGAGGGAACCCCGGCCGCAGGCUCAGGGAGGCUUGGGGCCGGGGACGGACGGCGCCGUGGGGCCCGGCGGCCAGCGGCCAGGGCGACUGUCCCACGCGCGGCUGCUUUCCGGGACUUGAGCUGGAAGAAAAAAAUACGGACUCCUUAGAGGCCAAAUAGGAAAAAGAAUAAGCAGGUAACCCAAGCAUAGGAGCGUUCAAGCUAGCCUUGGCUCUAACGGUGUCUACAAACCUUGGUGAACUUGAGCAGGCGACAGUCUAGAGCCUCAGAACGUUGGCAGCUAUGGAGGACACAUGGCUCAGACUGCCCUUUAGGAAUGAAGGUCUUAUUCCAGCUGCUGAGACAGCCCCAAGCCAGCAGCCAUCUUCAGAGAUUGUCACCCCAUCCUUCCUGGGGCAGCUGCAUUUGGUGAUUGAUCUCUGCAGAGGUAGAAAGCCCAGUCCUCUCACCCCAACGUGGGGAGGGCUCUGAAGAGCCAUCAAACCGUCCUAGUUACCCAUUGCUGCAUAACACAUUUUCGCAAAACUUAAAAGCUUAAAACAAACAUUUAUUACCUUACAGUUUCCAUGGGUCAGGGAGCUGCGCAGGGCUUAGCUGGGUGCCUCUGGCUCAAGGUCUCUGGAGGUUGCAGUCAAGAUGUUGGCUGGGCUACUGUAGUUUGAAAGCUCAACUGGGAUGGUGAGGGGCGACCUUUUCGAAAAUCAAGCCUGUGAUUGUUGCCAGUCCUUGGUCCCAAACCGCACAGCCUUUACACUGGGUUGCUUCACAGCACGGUGUCUGCUAUACCCGGGCUGAGCAAUGCUGAGAGGGAGAGAGGGCGUACACGGUGGAAGCCAGGACAUCCCACCGCUUCUGCAGAAUUCUCCACUAGAAGCAAGUCAAUAACUCUGGCCCACUCUCAAAACAGAGAUUCUACAAAGACCUGAAUGCCAGGUGGCAGGGAUUGCUGAGGCCCAUCUUAGAGGCUGCCUGUCACACCGUCUUCAGAACUCCCUAGAGAGUUGGCUGAAGCGUCUGCUGAACCUUCAUCAUAGCUAGACUUCUCCUUCGCCCCAUCCUGGUUCUUUUCCUUCCCUCCCACAGGGGUGGAUCCUAAGAGCACUCACUAAUAACCUUCCUAACUAAAUGACAUUUCAGAGAAUGCUUUGCUGCAACAGAAAUCUACCCAGGGAUCAGCCAACUGUGGCCCACUGACAUAAUAUCAACUCAUUUAAUUUUCCUGAUAUCCCCAUGAGGUAGCUACUCUUGAGUAUACCCAUUUUAUAGAAGGGGUAAAGUGAGGUGAAGAGACUUGCGAAACAUUACAAAGUGAGUCAGUCGGCAGUGGACCGGAGAUUCAGCUGCAGUCUGGGCCACCUCAUCCUUACUCCACCUUCCUCCUACAUCUUACAUGUCUACCAGCAGUACAGUGCCUUUUGUUACCCACCAAACAUGUCACCACAGGACAUAUUUAUAUGUUUUCUGAAGGUUCCCUGCUCUAAAAUGUAAGCUUCAUCAGGGCGGUAACACUGUUCUAUUUUAGAACAAUAGCUGGCAUAUAAGAUGCCCCUCAAUAGAGUUACUGCCUGCAUGUGUGACACCUGGCACGCUGUCUUUGAAUUAUUUUGUUGUCUUUACCACCAGGUCUCAUGUCUGUAUUCCUCCUCCAGGGUCUGGGCGCAUCGUGUAGCCAGUGCUUUUGAACACAGGUACCUAGGGCCUGAAGUGUGCCAGUUUCUCUCUUACUCCAACCUCAUUUCCAUGCCUGGGGAUUAUCUGUUCUUCCAAUUGCAGCUUCACUGAAUGCAUUAUAACCCGCAGUUUACUGCAUUUGAGGACAAUGAGACAGACACUGUGAUCUUCAGAAACAUGUUUUAUUUUCUUUUUCCUGGUGAAGUUUAAGGGCUUUGGUUCAUUUGGAUAAAAAUAGGUUUUUAGGUUUUACAUUUUUACAAGCAACAACCAUUAUUACAUGUGGGUGUGCUGUUUUUGUUUUGUUGUUUUGUUUUCUGAGACAAGGUCUUGCUCUGUCACCCACAGGCUGGAGUGCAGUGACAUGAUCUCAGCUCAUUGCAGCCUCAACCUCCCAGGCACAAGCGAUCCUCCUGCCUCAGCCUCCUGAGUAGCUGGGAUACAGACGGUGACUCAAUCUGCCCAGGCUGGAGUGCGGUGACCUGAACACAGCUCACUGAAGCCUUGACUUCCCGGGUUCAAGCAAUUCUCCUGCCUCAGCCUCCCAAGGAGCUGGGACCACAGGUGUGUGCCACCACAUCUGGCUAAUUGUUUUUUAUUUUUGGUAGAGAGAGGUCUCACUAUGUUGUCAAGGCUGAUGUCGAACUCCUGAGCUCAAGUGAUCCUCCUGCCUCAGCCUCCCAAAGUGCUGGGAUUACAGGCAUGAGACACAGCGCCCGACUCACACACUUUUAAAUUUUGUUCUCCGCCUGAUAUUUAGCUUUACGGCAUAGAAGAAAUGGUUUAACCCCCUUAGCGACAUGGCAGCUCUAUGCCCUUUAUUGUUCUACUGCUAAAGGUCUUUGGGUUUCUGUUUCUCCUUUUUUUUUUCUUUUUAAGAAAUGAAAUUAUUUUCUUUUACCUACGUAAAAAGAGUAUACCUUGGCGGAGAGCGUGGCACGGCUCUACGCACCCCUCCCUGCCUGCCCAGCGCCUUCCACGCGGGAAACUCCCCGCCGGUCUCAGCUCCACCCCGCGCUGCCCCGCCGGCUCGGCAGCACUCGCAGCCGGCGAUCCGCUGGUGCAGCUCCACGAUCCGCCUGCCC